CCUACGGGAGGCAGCAGUGGGGAAUUUUGCGCAAUGCUCGUAAGAGUGACGCAGCGACGCCGCGUGAAUGACGAAGGCCUUCGGGUCGUAAAGUUCUUUCGAUAGGGAAGUAAUGCAUAUAAGUUACUGUGUAUGUAUUGACGGUACCUGUAUAAGCAGCCCCGGCUAACUCCGUGCCAGCAGCCGCGGUAAUACGGAGGGGGCGAGCGUUGUUCGGAGUGACUGGGCGUAAAGAGAACGUAGGCGGUGUUGUAAGUCAUUAGUCAAAGAGUAGAGCUCAACUUUAUUAAGGCUAGUGAUACUAUAAUACUAGAGCAUCAGGGAGGAGUGCAGAAUUCGUGGUGUAGCGGUGAAAUGCGGAGGUAUAAGGAGGAAUACCGUUAGCGAAGGCGGCAAUCUGGCUGGAAACUGACGCUGAGGUGCGAAAGCGUGGGUAGCAAACAGGAUUAGAUACCCGUGUAGUC
rnacentral:rRNA from 1 species